rnacentral:lncRNA from 1 species
AGUGGUUUCUCAGAGACUUGAAUGAAGGGCAUCUGGAUCCAGAGUGCCAGCUCUUAACCACCAUGUUAUGCUGAGUCUUCUAUUUGAGCAAUGGAAUAAACUGUUCUCUGCAAUGACUACACUCACAUUUGUUGGAGCUAUGUGUGUUCAUUGACUGGAGCCAAGUAAGUGCUGGAGGAAAUAUUCUGUUCAUACAUGUGCUUAUAUGGAAGGAUUUCU